GGAGUGGGUUUCGCCUGAAAUGAGAAGGGAGAGAAACGCAUUAGUUCAAAGGAACCCAAAAUUAGAUGUUUCAGGAUAGUGACCUGAUGACAUCUACAACUAAAUGUGCAUCAGCCACGGAUAAUUUUACUCCAGAGAUUUCAGUUCUGUGAAAUGUGAGGCUUGGCAUGGUGCUGGAAGUCAACAGUGCACAGCCUCAGAGCUGGAAGACCCUCUGAAGGUAACUAUACUAGCAUACACACAGAUGACAUCUUUCACCUCUUCUGCUGUCUGCAAUAUGCGAAGCCUUAAAGAUACGGAUUGCUUCAAAGUGUUUAAGAAACAAGUUUUCAGAAGCUUGAAGAUCAACCAACAUUCAUUAUAAAAGAUACAGAAGAGAUUCUGCAAGAUGAGAAAUCUUUCUCAAGAGAUACAUGAAAGGGAUGUCAUGACUAUCUGACAAUAUGAUUGAAUCACUGGCUACAAGAAUUGGGGAUGGCAAUCAGGAUAUUGUGAAGGAUUCCAUUGAAAGCUGAAUUUCAUUAAACUUGAA